UUCGGGGGAAGGCCAGCCCGCGGUCACGCCGGCUGUGGGAAGGGAAAGUGGGCUCCCCGGGCUACUGUUUCCGGGUGCUCGGGGCGUGGGUCGAGCGGGGAUCGGACCGGGGACUAGGAGGGCUUCCGGGGGCGCCGCGGGCGCUCGGCAGGCGGGAGUUGAGGAGCAGGCCGGCCGCGCGGCGGACUCGCUCCGUGGAGGCCCCGCCGCGAGCUCGCGUCUGGGGGGUUUCCAUGGUGACAGUAAACAAGCCUCAACUGCCUCAGCUACAACUGCCAAGUCCCCGGGGUUCCACCCUCCUCUAGGUGCUCUGAGGGCCGGCGAGGUUCCGGAUGUGAGUGGGAGCGUGGAGACGAGGAGCCCGAGGUGAGGGCCGCCAACCGGGUGGGCUGACGCCGGGCCCUUGGGGCAGUGGACCGCGGGCGCGGGGCUCGGCUUAGGAAGGACAGGUCCGUGAUGGAAGCCGCACGCCCGAGUCCGUGCGAAGACCGUCCUGGGUGCCGGAACCGCGUGGCCGAGGUUUGAGGGCCGGGGCGAUGGCCGAAGUUGAGAGUGACAGCCCGACUUGGGGGUAUUCCCGACGGGUCCGGCCGCGUGGCUGAGGCUGGCGGCCGGCCGGGGGAGUGGGGGGACGGGGUCGGAAGUCUGGAGUCACCCCGAUCGGGCUCCGGCCGCGGGGACUAAGGAUUGGCGCCCCUGACGCCGCCUCCGAGGCGCACGGUGGAUAGAAGAGCGGCUCUCGCCUAGCGCCAUCUCCCCAGGCGCUGCUCGCACGCGGCGCGGCGGACGCGGGCGAUCGGGGGGCAGGGCUGAGCGUUUCUCCCCCGCGCCGGGACGAGCUCGGCGGUUCCCGGGAAGGCCGGGGCGCUGGUCGCCGUCUUGAGAAAGGAUAGCGCCGGCUCACGUGGCUGGAGGCGCCCGGAGUUUCACAAGACUAGUAGGAGGGACGACUCCGCCCACGCCCGGCCCUGCAUCGCCGCCGGCCUUUUCCUCGUGGCGACCCGGCUGUCGAUCCGGGCCCUCGGAGGUGGCGUGUCGGCGUCUGGGGGUGGUGGCGGUGCUGGAAUCUUCUCCUAGGGAGGCUGACUUCAAACUGAGGACUCUCCUUCAGAUUCUCAGUGCUGAGAUUGAGAGCAGGCUACCACAUACAGCUUCAGAUACUAUCCAGCUGACAAGUUUGAGUCAAGCUGAACAAGGUACUAUCUCAUUUGGUAAGUAGACAGUGUCUUAGCAAUCUCACAAAUUUUCACUCCAAAUCUGCCACCAAUAGAAGUUCAUUGCAAGCCAAAGUGAUUUUUAUUUUUCUUUUUUAAUAUCAGCUCUUUGUUUUUUCUAUAAAUUGGUAGUUACCUUUGCAAGUUACCUUUUAUUGGGACUGUGGUCCUAACAAACAGGCACUCCCUAGUGGUUAGUGUUCUCUAUGUUGUGUAAAGCUGUGUUUCAUGGGGUGUGAGUGUGCCUCCCUGCUAGGGAGUGAGGGUUGAGAGAUAGACAACUGGGUAGCCCAGUAAUCCUACUUGUCAGGUGCUAGCAUUAAAAUGUAGUGAGAUUAUUAAAGCCUUUUUGACACAGAGUUUGUCUGUGUAGCCCUAGCUGUCUUGAAACUACCUCUUGUAGACCAGGCUGGCCUCGAAGUCAGAGAUCAGCCUGUCUCUGCCUUCAAAGUGCUGGGAUUAAAGGCGUUGUGCCAACACCAUCCGGCAUCUCAUGUUUUCAAAUGUGUAUAUUUUUCAUACCCCUUAGAUUCUUUUACUUGCACCCUUUUCCUCUUCCCUCCUAUUCCCUCUUGUGUUGCAUGUAUACCUGUAUAUUUUUGAUGUUUCAAUAAGUUUUUAGGUUGUUCACACACUGUUCUGAGUGAGGGAACAGCAUAGCAUUACCAUUAAACAUUUUAAGAAUUGGAUCUUAGUUUGUACUUUGUCUCUAGUUGUAAUGAUUUCUCUCUCUUGUCUGUCUGUCCUGGUUUUUCAAGACAGGGUUUCUCUGUGUAGCGUUGGAGCCUGUCCUGAAACUCUUAACUCUCUAGACCAGGCUGGCCUCGAACUCACAGAGAUCACAUGCCUCUGUUUCCAGAGUGCUGGAAUUAAAGAUGUCUGCCACUGCUGCCACCACCCUGUUAGUUGCUGGCUCUAGUUCAACUUGCUCUCUUUUCUCUUUUUCUUUUCUUUUUUUUUUAAUACUUUGGAGUCUGCCUUCCUAACUGAAAUUAGUUUGUAAAACUAAAUUUUGAAAAUGGGAAGGUAGUUUUGGCUGAUUAAAUGUACUUUAGAGUAUAUAGCUUUGGGCUAGAAGGUUUUUUGUAUUGUUUUUGUGUUUUCAAGACUGGGUCUCUCCGUGUAACCCUUUUUGGCCUGGAACUUGCUCUGUAGAGCAGGUUAGACUCAAACUCAAAGAGAUCCCCCUG